AAAUAACAGCGAUUUUCCAGAAACAACUUUUCUUUCUAGAAAAUAAAUAAAUUAGAUUUUUACCAUUCUUUUGAAUACCUACUUUGUUCGAAAACUCACACAUACAUUGGAAUAUCGUAAUACCUUCGCCUAAUUUCUCUUAAUCUCUAGAAUAUUUUUGUGAAUAUAUCACUCAAAAAAAUCCAAGCGUUUCCGAGAUGUUUGGAUUUUGAUUGGUGUUGUUUUAAAACCAACACUGUGCAUUAAAGGGUUAAGGACACAUACGAUUGCGCCCUUUCCGAGAAUAAAUGUCUUAAAAACAGCAUUUCAAUUCUCACACAGGUUUCUGGGAUAUUUUUAUUUAAGCUAGAACGUCCGUUCUCUGUGCUAUGACCUUCGAACGAUUUUUUGCGAAAACAAUCAACGCACAUUUCGAUACAGUUUCGCUGAUUACACAAAUGACGAAUUACAAAAUUACAAAUUAAUACCAACCUCUGGUAUUUAAGAACGUGACACAUGAGUCGACCUUAUCAUUUCUCGGUAAUCGUAGUCUCGGUAAAGGGUAGACGGUUGAUUUAAGGUGUUUCAAAAGUUAAAGUGUCUUUCUUUAUAUUGUCGGAAGAAAUGAUUUCGAAAUUUGUGUUGCUAACUUUGGCAAUAGCUUUGUUGCUGUGCUGCUGUUAUGUUCAGGCGCAACCAAAAUCUGAAUGGAACUAUCACGACUGGGACGUGGGGCGUAGGUCAGUUGAUCCCAAGUCCGGCGCUGCCGAUUGCGUUCCAGGUGCAAAUUGCGAUCAGAAUCAGGCUUUUUAACACCCCGCAAAACUUUGAGUCGAUCAUUAUUUUUCAAUAACUGUAACUAAUUUGACGAUCCUGAUUAAAUGUGCAAGAAAUACUUGUAACUUAACACAAGAAAUAAGUCAUGA